rnacentral:lncRNA from 1 species
AUGAUAUAUCACUUACUCAAUACAGUAAUGCUGGCCACUGAAUAUUGGAGUCCAGUGCUCCUAACACAAAAGCCCGUGGCUCUUCCUCUAAAUCAAGUCACCAGCACUUUCCUAACCACACAAGAGAGAUGUCUUUCCUCCCUGCCUCCUGCCUGGAGCCGCUGCUUUAGGAAAAUACUAGUAGCUCUUUGAGCUGUGUGCCUGCCCACAGCCCAGAGAAGAGAGAAGAAUGGGGACAGAACUGGUUUCCCAGCUCCUUCCAAAUGUUCCCUCCUAAGCACUACCUGGAUGGAGCCCUGUACACGCUGUGGGGCCCUAGGCAAGCCUCAUACCUUCUCUGCGCUGCUGCUUCCUUCCUCGACGCUUCAUCCAAGGCAGUUAAGGGAAUGCAGGUGUUGCUAAUAAACCCUGGAGAUGGUACCUUUCCCA